rnacentral:rRNA from 1 species
AUUGAACGCUGGCGGCAGGCCUAACACAUGCAAGUCGAGCGAGCGGCGGACGGGUGAGUAAUGUAUGGGGACUGCCCGAUAGAGGGGGAUAACUACUGGAAACGGUGGUUAAUACCGCAUACUAUCGGAUAACCCAUAUGGGAUUAGCUAGUAGGUGGGGUAAAGGCUCACCUAGGCGACGAUCUCUAGCUGGUCUGAGAGGAUGGUCAGCGACACUGGGACUGGGACACGGCCCAGACUCCUACGGGGGCAGGAGUGGGAAAGUUUGCACAAUGGGCGCAAGCCUGAUGCAGACAUGAAACGUGUAUGAAGAAGGCCUUAGGGUAGUAAAGUACUUUCAGCGGGGAAGCGUUACCCGCAGAAGAAGCCCCGGCUAACUCCAUGCCAGCAGCCGCGGUAAUAC